UACGUAGGUGGCAAGCGUUAUCCGGAAUUAUUGGGCGUAAAGCGCGCGUAGGCGGUUUUUAUAUCUGAUGAGAACCCACGGCUCAACCGUGGAGGGUCAUUGGAAACUGGAAACUUGAGUCAGAAGAGGAAAGUGGAAUUCCAUGUGUAGCGGUGAAAUGCGCAGAGAUAUGGAGGAACACCAGUGGCGAAGGCGACUUUCUGGUCUGUAACUGACGCUGAUGUGCGAAAGCGUGGGGAUCAAACAGGAUUAGAUACCCCGUGUC
rnacentral:rRNA from 1 species